GCGGGUCGCGCGUGCCGGCCGGGGACGGACUGGGAACGGCUCUUUCGGGGGCCUUCCCCGGGCGUCGAACAGCCACAGAACUGGUACGGACAAGGGGAAUCCGACUGUUUAAUUAAAACAAAGCAUUGCGAUGGUCCCUGCGGAUGCUAACGCAAUGUGAUUUCUCUGCCCAGUGCUCUGAAUGUCAAAGUGAAGAAAUUCAACCAAGCGGGGUAAACGGCGGGAGUAACUAUGACUCUCUCGUAGCCAUAAGUCCGCAUCUACAUUAGUGACCGCAUGAAUGGAUUAACCCCACUGUCCCUGUCUACUAUCCGAAACCACAGCCAAGGAACGGGCUUGG
rnacentral:ncRNA from 1 species